rnacentral:tRNA from 1 species
CGGGGCGUAGCGCAGCCAGAUACGCACAGCUUGCUGGAGCGCAGCGAAUCUGACUUCGGGAACAGGGGGCCGGAGGUUCAAAUCCUCUCGCCCCGACCA